rnacentral:ncRNA from 1 species
UUAAAAACGAUGAUCAGGAAGAGUAUGCAGUAAGCACAGUACAGAGAGCCUGCGGCUGGUGAAAGCAGGACUGUAGCGCUGACAGAAUGGACCUGUGAGUGAAUCCGUAUCAUGCGCGUUACAGCAUGUCGAGUGGAAGCAAUGGCUUCAACAGAGGUGGCACCGCGGUAAAAACCGUCCUCCGU